rnacentral:rRNA from 1 species
UAGGGAAUAUUGCGCAAUGGGCGAAAGCCUGACGCAGCGACACCGUGUGUAGGAUGAAGAUCUUAGGAUUGUAAACUACUGUCAGUUGAAGAAGAAGGUAUGAAAGUUAAGAGCUUGAUUAUUGACGGUAUUCAACGAGGAAGUCUCGGCUAACUCCGUGCCAGCAGCCGCGGUAAGACGGGGGAGGCAAGCAUUGUCCGGAAUUAUUGGGCGUAAAGAACACGUAGGCGGUUUUUAAAGUCAAUUGUGAAAACCUUGGGCUUAACCCGAGGAUUGCAGUUGAUACUGGAAAACUAGAGUACAGUAGAGGAAAGUGGAAUUCCUGGUGUAGCGGUGAAAUGCGCAGAUAUCAGGAAGAACACCAGUGGCGAAAGCGGCUUUCUGGACUGUUACUGACGCUGAGGUGUGAAAGCUAGGGGAGCGAACA